GUGCCAGCCGCGGCGGUAAUACGUAGGGCGCGAGCGUUGUCCGGAAUUAUUGGGCGUAAAGGGCUUGUAGGCGGCUUGUCGCGUCUGCCGUGAAAUCCUCUGGCUUAACUGGGGGCGUGCGGUGGGUACGGGCUGGCUUGAGUGCGGUAGGGGAGACUGGAAUUCCUGGUGUAGCGGUGGAAUGCGCAGAUAUCAGGGAGGAACACCGGUGGCGAAGGCGGGUCUCUGGGCCGUUACUGACGCUGAGGAGCGAAAGCAUGGGGAGCGAACAGGAUUAGAUACCCUGGUAGUCCAUGCUGUAAACGUUGGGCACUAGGUGUGGGGGCCGUCCUUGGUUUCUGCGCCGUAGCUAACGCUUUAAGUGCCCCGCCUGGGGAGUACGGCCGCAAGGCUAAAACUCAAAGGAAUUGACGGGGGCCCGCACAAGCGGCGGAGCAUGCGGAUUAAUUCGAUGCAACGCGAAGAACCUUACCAAGGCUUGACAUGCACCGCGACACUGCAGAGAUGUGGUGGCCUUCGGGGUGGUGUGCAGGUGG
rnacentral:rRNA from 1 species